rnacentral:piRNA from 2 species
UGGUAUAGUUUUCGGUGUUCUUGAUGUGU